rnacentral:ribozyme from 2 species
UGCCUAAUGCAGCCAUAGACGGUCACAAGCCCGUGCAAAUGCAGAGUGAGCA